rnacentral:lncRNA from 10 species
GUGGGUUUGGUUCCAGACUACCACAAUAAAGUGAAUAUGUGAGUCACACAAAUUUUUUGGUUUCUCGGUGCAUAUAAAAGUUAUAUAUUUACAUUACAUUGUAGUCUAUUAAGUGCAAUAGCAUUAUGUCUAAAAUAACAAUGUACCUACCUUAAUUUAAAAUAGUUUUAUUGCUAAAAAAUGUUAAUGAUCAUCUGAGCCUUCAGAGAGUCUUAAUCUUUUUGCUGAUGGAGGGUCUUGCCUCCAUGGCUGAUGGCUGCUGACUGAUCAGGAUGGAGGUUGCUAAAUGAUGAGGUGGCUGUGCAAUUGCAUAAAAUAAGACAACAGUAAAGUCUGUCUCAUCAACUGACUCUUCUUUUCACCAAAAACUUCUCUGUAGCAUGCAGUGUUGUGUGAUAGUAUUUUAUCCACAGUAGAACUUCUUUCAAAACUGUAGUCUAUCCUCUCAGACCCGCUGCUCCUUUUUCAACUAAGUUUAAGUCAUAUUCUAAAUCCCUCGUUGCCAGUUGAAUAAUGCUCACAGCAUCUUCACCAGGACUAGAUUCUACCUCAAGAAACCACGUUCUUUGCUCAUUCAUUAAAAGCAACUCCUCAUCCAUUCAAGUUUUAUGAGAUUGCAGCAAUCCAGUUACAUCUUCAGGCUGCACUUCUAAUUCUAGUUCUCUUGCUAUUUCCACCAUAUGUGUAGUUACUUCCUACACUGAAGGCUUGAACCCCUUAAAGUCAUCCAUGAGGGUUGGAAUCAACUUCUUCCAAACUCCUGUUAAUGUUGACACUUUGACCUUCUUCCUGAAUCAUGAGUGUUCUUCCUGGCAUCUAGAAUGGCGCAUCCUUUCCCUAAGUUUUUCUAUUUACUUUGCCCAAAUCCAUCAGAGGAAUCACUAUCUAUAUAGCAGCUGAACCUUAUGAAAUGUGUUUUUUAAAUAACAAAACUUGAGAGUUGAAAUUACUCCUUGAUGCGUGGGCUACAGAAUGGAUGUUGUGUCAGCAGGCAUGAAAACAACAUGAAUUUCCGUGUACAUCUCCAGCAGAGCUUUUGGGUGACCAGGUGCAUUGUCAAUGAGCAGUAAUACUUUCAAACGAAUCUUUUUCUCUCAACAAUAGUUCUCAACAGUGGGCUUCAAAUAGUCAGUAAACCAUGCUAUAAACCGAUGUGCUGUCAUCCAGGCUUUGUCAUUCCAUUUACAGAGCACAGGCAGGGUAGAUUUAGAUAAUUCUCAAGACCCUCGGAUUUUUGGAAUGGUAAAUGAGCAUUGGCUUCAACUUAAAGUCACCAGCUGCAUUAGUCCCUAGCAAGAGAGUCAGCCUGUCCUUUGAAGCUUUGAAGUCAAGCAUUGACUUCUCUUCUCCAGCAAUGGAAGUCCUAGAUGGCAUCUUUUUCCAAUAGAAGGCUGUUUCGUUUACAUUGAAAAUCUGUUAGUGUAGACACCUUCAUCAAUGAUCUUAGCUAGAUUUUCUGGAUACCUUGCUGCAGCUUCUACAUCAGCACUUGCACUUUCCUGUUAUAGAGACGGCUUCUUUCCUUAAACCUCAUGAACCAACCUCUGCUAGCUUCAAAUUUUUAUUCUGCAGCUUCAACACAUCUCUCAGCCUUCACUGAAAUGAAGAGAAUUAGGGCCUUGCUCUGGACUGGGCUUUGGCUUAAUGGAUGAUGUGGCUGGUCUGAUCUUCUUUCUAGACCACUCAAGCUUUCUCCAUAUCAACAACAAGGUUGUUUUGCUUUCUUGUGCUCCAGUGUUUACUGGAGCAGCACUUUUAAUUUCCUUCAAGGUCUUCCUUUGCACUUACAACUUGGCUAACUGGUGCAAGAAGCCUGGUUUCAGCCUGUCUUGGUUUUCAGCAUGCCUUCCUCACUAAGCUUAAUCAUUUCUAGCUUUUGAUUUAAAGUGAGAGAUGUGCCACUCUCUUCCUUUAACUUGAACACUUAGAGGCCACUGUAGGGUUAUUAGUUGGCCUAAUUUCAAUAUUGUUGUGUCUCAGGGAAUAGGGAAGCUCGAGGAGAGAGAGACAAGGGAAUGGCUGGUUAGUGGAACAGUCAGAACACACAUAACAUUUAUCAAUUAAGUUUGCCAUCUUAUAUGGGUAUAGUUCAUGGCACCCCAAAACAAUUAUAAUAGUAACAUCAAAGAUCACUGAUCACAGAUCACUUUAACAGAUAUAAUAAUAAUGAAAAUAUUUUAAAUAUUGCAAAAGUUACUAAAAAUGUAAAAUAGAAAUGGGAAGUGCGUACUUGUUGGGAAAAUGGGGCCAAUAGCCUUGCUUGACACAGAGUUGCCACAAAACUUAGAUUUGUAAAAAAAGAUACAGUACCUGUGAAGCACAAUAAAACAACAUAUGCCUUUAAAAACAAGUGUUAGGCCAGGCACAAUGGCUCAUGCCUGUAAUCCCGGCACUUUGGGAGGCCGAGGCAGGCGCAUCAC